AGCCUGAUGCAGCGACGCCGCGUGGGGGAUGACGGCCUUCGGGUUGUAAACUCCUUUCAGCGCCGACGAAGCGGAAGUGACGGUAGGCGCAGAAGAAGCACCGGCCAACUACGUGCCAGCAGCCGCGGUAAUACGUAGGGUGCGAGCGUUGUCCGGAAUUACUGGGCGUAAAGAGCUCGUAGGUGGCUUGUCGCGUUGCCUGUGAAAACCUGGGGCUCAACCCCGGGCGUGCAGGCGAUACGGGCAGGCUCGAGUACUGCAGGGGAGACUGGAAUUCCUGGUGUAGCGGUGAAAUGCGCAGAUAUCAGGAGGAACACCGGUGGCGAAGGCGGGUCUCUGGGCAGUAACUGACGCUGAGGAGCGAAAGCGUGGGGAGCGAACAGGAUUAGAUACCCUGGUAGUCCACGCCGUAAACGGUGGGUACUAGGUGUGGGCCCCAUUCCACGGGGUCCGUGCCGCAGCUAACGCAUUAAGUACCCCGCCUGGG
rnacentral:rRNA from 1 species